CCUACGGGUGGCAGCAGUGGGGAAUAUUGGACAAUGGGCGAAAGCCUGAUCCAGCCAUGCCGCGUGUGUGAAGAAGGCCUUCGGGUUGUAAAGCACUUUCAGUGGGGAAGAAAGCCUUGGGGCUAAUACCCUCGAGGAAGGACAUCACCCACAGAAGAAGCACCGGCUAACUCCGUGCCAGCAGCCGCGGUAAUACGGAGGGUGCGAGCGUUAAUCGGAAUUACUGGGCGUAAAGCGCGCGUAGGCGGUCUGAUAAGCCGGUUGUGAAAGCCCCGGGCUCAACCUGGGAACGGCAUCCGGAACUGUCAGGCUAGAGUGCAGGAGAGGAAGGUAGAAUUCCCGGUGUAGCGGUGAAAUGCGUAGAGAUCGGGAGGAAUACCAGUGGCGACGGCGGCCUUCUGGACUGACACUGACGCUGAGGUGCGAAAGCGUGGGUAGCAAACAGGAUUAGAUACCCCGGUAGUC
rnacentral:rRNA from 1 species